ensembl:lncRNA
CUGGAGUUGCAGUCCCGCGUGGCUGAGGGGCCGGGCCGCGGGGCCGCCGGGGAGUUACACCAGUGCGUGGCUGAGGCACGGAAGACAGAGAUGAUUCCGGGGUGGCUCCUUUGAACCGCUGCCUACUGGGCUUCAGCAGAGAGAAGAAUGCACUCACUUGAAGAAGAGACGCACGACAAAUGUUCUGAGACUGAGAAAUUCUCUCCUGCAUCCAGAUUUGAACUUGGGACCAUCUCAUGUGUCUCAGUGGUAUCCUCUGGAGAGUUGUGCAGUUCUGAAGUGGAAGAAAACAGCAGCAACAAAGUUAUUGAUACAUAGCAUAGUCUGGGUCUGUGUCAUUUUAAAACAUAUAUGGAGUAGAUAUUUUGUUUCUGCCAUUGUUACCACCCAUGGUAAUUCCUCACACAAAAUUAAAGAGAACUUAUUAAAAUUAUGUAUGUGGUGGGUAUCACUGGGAUUGGGUAUCUUCUAUAUAUUUUUAGAGAUGUAUACAGGAUAUUGGGAACUCAAAUAUGUUUAAAAUAUGAUAUACAUUCACUAGUGGUUAGAUAUUAUUACUAUUGCUAUUUUUAUUGGCUCAAUUUCCUGGUAAUAAAUUGUGCCAGUGAAAGCUGUGGAGUAUAAGUUUCAUGAGGAAUUGUGAAUGUUGACUCAUUUAUUUUGGUGAAUGUAGAGUCAUAUACAUGGAAGGGUUGAUGUGAAUAUGAAUAAAAGAUGGACCUGCAUGCAAAGAUACAAACUGUUAGAUGGUUCUCUAGGAACUGGGCAUGGCACAGCUAAGCAUUCAAAUGAAGACUUUACAGACUUGAUCCCAAUUCGUCUUUCAGAAAUGUGCUUCCACAUUUCUAUUGGAUCUUUAACCUUCUGAUAUAGGAGGUAGAAUGUGGCAAACUGACUAGAGAAGUGGGAGGGACCUGUAAAUCACAAGACUCCAGGGCAGUGCCAGAUGAUUCCUGGACCCCAUAUGUAGAACUUCCUAUGAGCUCCACAAGAUAUGGACAUCAUGAGGAAGACCAGAAACCGGGAGGAGCUCGCUAUCUUUACUCUUCACAGUAGCCCACCCUGGGUUUCCCAAACCCAGGGUGUAUUUUUAAUUUUUGCUCUUUUUACCUUUUCUUUUUUUUGGCUCAAGUUUGCUCUACAGAGCUAGUUUUUCCCUUACCCCUUCACCCUUCAUUUUUCAAAUAAAUUUUUGGGAGAUAGAAAAAUGAACAUGGUGAGUUUUGGAAACAGAACCUGGGCAGUUUUGGAGAAAAGGGGUCAUUUAUUCAGUUGUUGAACAAACAGGGUCUGCUCCACCUCUGUUCCACCUCAGACCUUUGAGAAUGAACUUGUCUGUAAAAUGGGAGCAGGGUAAUCAAGAGAUUAUACCUGAAAUAGCUGAUUCCAUUCUGCUUACCCUCUGCUAUUCUCCAAAGCCAUCUUGUCCAGCAUCCUCUCCCAGGAAUACUUACUGCGUCUUGAACAGUGAUGUCUUACUUGGGCAGGAACUGCUGCACUUCAGUCCUCUGUGUUUCUACAGGGAUCCUGCCCUCAAGGUGCCUGAUGCCCCUCGAACUUGGUACUGUUUCAUAUUGCUUGCCACCUUCUACAUAUUUCAUACUUUGUCUACAUCUUACUUCCUAGAGAUUCUUAAUCUCAAACAAAUGAUUUGGUAAAUUUUUGUGUUUGAAGAAAUUAAAUAUUCAUGAUCUUCUUAUGUUCCUGUUCCUGUUCAUAAGGCCCAACAAAGUAUAAUCAAUGAAUAAAUUUUUUCUCCAUGUAAUGGAAUAUAGGGAGUAAUGACAAUAUACACUGUAAUCAUAUGCCACAUGGAUAACAUUCAUAAAUAUAAGGAUGAGCAAAAAUGAUCCAGACAAAACGUAUAUAUUUUGCAUUUCUAUUUACACAAAUUUAUCUCCUGACUGGCUCCUGGCUUCUAAGGUCAUCUAGAAAUCAGAGUAAUUAUUACUAUUUGCAUGGUAGGGUCAAAAAGUGAAAGUCUUGAAUUCAUGUGCAUGUGAAAGAUUAUAAGAAAAUGAGAAAAAUAAGAAGCAAUGCAGAUGGGUUUGUGUAGGAACACAUGUGUGAAUAUUGGCUAGGACAAUAAGUGGAUGUGCUGUGUUCUUGGACUGGCUAUCUUUUUAAUGUGUUUUAAGUAAGAUCUUUUGAGGAUCCUAUUAUUCUGGGCUUCUUCUUUCCUGACAGUCUACCGUGCUUUUCCCUAGUUCCUACUGACAUACUGUUCCUAUGUGACUCUGAUCAUGCUCUUAUCCUCCCGGGCACUCUCCUACUAUUUCCUGAGCAGAGCCCAGUUCUCCAAUGAUCCUGGCCUUCCUGAAGUCCUCUCAUGUGUUUUCCCUUUGACAUUUAUUGCUGCCACUGCUGAUUAUUUUCAGUUUCUUUCUGGCUGAGAACCCUUGUAUCAACUGAUGUUCAGAACUAUUCAACUCAAUUCUGAGAUAUUCCUAGACCCUAGCUCCCCUUCUGUACUCCCCGCUUCCAUACCUGCAUCCAAGAAUUUGUCUUCAUAGGAGAAGUCCCCUGAGGUUGAGGAAGAACUAUCCACCACUUUGUGGCCUUGAGUAUGGGCCAGUACCUUGGCUCUAACCUGCAGAACAUCUUGUGAAUCCAACUUUCCUGAGAAAUGAAAUAAAAACGAUACAGUUCUAGUUUGGUGUUUAUGUGUAUCUAUUGUAAAACAUAUAAUGAGUCUACUAUUUACAUGUUCACUGAAUACACUUUACCUCCAUCCUCAAGGGUAAACAAUACGGCUCCUAUUGGUAAAAUUUUAAAUGUAGAGCAGUAUUUAUUUUGUCAGUACUUGUUACAGAUCAUUACAUUUGCACAAAGUUUCAUUGGUGCAGAAACUGCUUGCUUCAACCUUUCAAGUUGGACAGACCACUGUAUUCUAGUUAUUGAGCUACCUUGUAGUUAGCUUUGAUCUUGUGAUUGUAUUUCCUACCAAAGAAAAUGAAAAGUGACAAAUCCUAUUUCUGUGGCCAUAGAAGCCUCUGUCUCUCUCCAUGUACUCUGCUUUUCCAGUCGACUAGGAUGUUGAUAGCCCUGGGUCUCUGUGAAAGAUGUGUUAAUGAUGACGGUAUUUUUCUCAGCCCAUGAAUUAGUCCAUUGAGGGCAAUUGUCCUGUUGACCUGCUCAUCAACAUGCUAGCAGUUGAUUCUAUGUGUAGUAGUUAUUAGAGCUUGGAAUCUUCUAGUGAAGUCAGGUUGUAAGGUGUUUUUGAGAGGCAAAUAAUCAGACUUGGUAUACAGUAAGUGGACAAUUAUGUUAGAUGAUAGUAUUUAUCAUGCUUUGGUUUAUUUUUGUAUUUUGUGUGUGUAUGAGUAAGUAUGGGUAUGUGCUUUGCAUAUUUCAUGGCUUACACUUGACAUGUUUGAAUAUAUACUGAUGUAACUGAAAGUGAAAUAAAGACAAGAACACUCUUCAGGCCCCUCUGUACAAAGGACCAACAGAAAAUAAAGAAAUCUGAAAAUCUAUUGAAGUAUCAGACUGUUCUCAAAAAUGUGAGCCACUCUUUGGAAUGUUGGGUGUGGCUCCAAUCUGUCCCCUCCCACCACUGAAUGAGGGUCCUCCCUCAUAAUAGGUAUUUGUUUACUGUUAAUCUCCAAGGUAACACAACUGUUAGUUUCUAAUUUUUCCAUAAAUAGCCAAAUAUUAUCUCGUAUUUCAUAAUUCAUGGUUAAACGGUACAUGCAUGUUUAUGUGUGUGCAUGUGUAUUUCUUACAUUUCACAAAGAAGUCCUGGAAGAAUGGCUAUUAUUAAGGAAUGAACCAACAACAAAUGUUGGUAGGGCUGUGGGGAAAAAGGAACCCUUUUCCUCUGUUAGUGGGCAUGUAGACUGGCAACCACUGUGGAAAUCGGUGUGGAGAUUCCUCAAACAACUAGGAUUAGAAAAAUAAAACAAAACUAGGAUUAGAGGUCUCAUUUGACCCAGCUAUUCCCUUUCUGGGUAUCUUUGCAAAAGAACUAAAAGCAUCAUACCACAGCCAUAUAUAUGUGCACCUAUGUUUGUGGCGCUAUAGUUUGUAAUACCUAAAUUUUGGAAACAACCAAAAUGCCCAUCAACUGAUGAAUGAAUAAAAAAGAUGGGGCAUUUUUAUAUAAUGGGAUACUACUCAGCCAUAAAGCAGGUUAAACUCAAAACAUUUCUAGGUAAAUGGAUGCACCUUGAGAGCAUACUCUUAAGUGAAAUGGACACAAAGGUAUAAAUAUCACAUUGUCUCUCUAGUGUGAGAAACUGAAAGUGUAAAUAAGGACCAAAAUGUAUUAUAAAUAUUGUGAAAUAGGAAGAAAUUGCACAAAAGAGAAACUAGUGAGGUGGAAGGAGGAAAGGAAGAAAGGGAAAAGAAAAAAUACGAGAAAAGAAAGAUAAAAUGGUAAUAAAGCUUUGUAAGUAAGGAGGGGAAGAAGGGUUGAAGGCAGGGGAGGGGAAUGGGGAAAAAAAUCAAGAUAUAUUAUGUACAGGUACAAAUGUCCUAUGAUGAAUAUGAUCAUUAUGUAUACCUACACUAUACCAGUAAAAUUAAUUUUAAAGUUCUGGAGACAUAUCUUCAUAGUCUGAAACAAAACUAGCUUUUUACUCCUGAGUAAAUAAUUAUUUGUGACUUUAUAGUCAUUUUUGCACACCAUUUCAACUUAUUUUAAAAACUGUUUUCUUCAGUUCUAUGAACCAGUUUCUUCAUCAAAAGGGAAAAAGUACUACGAAAACUUAAAUUUCAUUUACUCUCCCAGUGCCCUUAGGAAGAAGUCAAAUGGCAGAAAACGCAUUUUUUAAAGAAAAAAAAUAGUCUGGAUGAAGGAUGAGAGUGACCCAGAGUGAUUGAAUCGGCAGCCCCAAGCCUAAGGCACAGUGACAAGACCUGGAUCAUCUAACCUUCUCUUUACUCUCAGACUACAUGAGCCUUUGUGAAGGCAUACAUAUCUCCCUCCUUCCCUGUUUUGGUCACUUCUUUUCUUCAUCUUUCUCUCCUCUGCUCCUCCACCACAAAUUAGAAGUCCACUCUUUUCCCUGUUUUUAGAAGGCAAUUCCUGGUUCCCUAUUCCUCGAGAAUAUGCUAAUACAUACCUCUUGUAAUCCUUGACGUUUUCACAGGUCGUUUUAAGGGUUUCUUCUUCUGGUGUUUUUUCUUCUCUUUAAGUUUCAUGGUUCAACUCUUUGCAGAAUUGCUGAUAUCAGCAGGCAGAACGUUUUUACAGAUGGAUGUAAUUUAUUUCUGAGCAGAAUGGAGUCUCUGAAGGACAGAUAAUGUCUUACAGAUAUCAAGCCUUGGGAUUCUGGGAAUAAGAUCAUGAAGUCAGUUACAUAAGUCGUCUGUUGUAGGUACCUGUGAUUUCUACAUCUGUAGCCUCGCAGCAUGAUGCAAUUGUCCUUUGAAAGCCACCGACCAACAGAAAGACGCUAGACCGUGCUGCAGUUUCCUAAUACACAGGGUCUCUGCUGCUGCUGGGCAGAUGCCCAGGAAGGCUCUGCAGAAGAUUCUGAAAGUUUCCACACAGAGCCCUGGCUCUCAGCUGAGAACGCUCCACCCAGUCAGGAAAGGUCACAGUAUGUGGGACAGUCUGCAUGGGUGUCCCUGGAUGUGUUGGGCAAUUGGGCUGUUUUCACAGCAUUACAGAGACUCCACCACCCACCACAUCUUGGCUCUUGCGGCUGCGGCUGCGCUGAGGAGAGACACUGCUGCCUCUCAGUGACCACACCCUUUCCCAGGCUGGCCCACAGGAAAUCAGCAGGGAGGGAGGAGGCUUUGUGGGAACCACACCAUCUAUUGAGAUGGACAAAGAUCUCCUCCACCAAGAAACUCUUUUAGAACCUGCUUUCCUCCUUCCUGCCAGCCCUCCCCACUGAGUGGCCAGUGUGGGAGAUGUUUACACUCAUGUCUUCACACUAAAGGAGGCUGGGGUGUAGGAUUCACCUUGCUUACCACCC